rnacentral:rRNA from 1 species
UAAGGUGGUUAUAGCGAUGGGGCUCACCUCUUACCUUUCCGAACAGAGAAGUUAAGCCCAUUUGCGCAGAUGGUACUGCUAUUUGUGGGAGAGUAUGUCGCCGCCUUCUUUUAAACCCUUGUCAAUUAGACAAGGGUUUUUUUUGUUUAUAC